rnacentral:rRNA from 1 species
UACGUAGGGUGCGAGCGUUGUCCGGAAUUAUUGGGCGUAAAGAGCUCGUAGGCGGUUUGUCGCGUCGGCCGUGAAAUCUCCACGCUUAACGUGGAGCGUGCGGUCGAUACGGGCAGACUUGAGUUCGGUAGGGGAGACUGGAAUUCCUGGUGUAGCGGUGAAAUGCGCAGAUAUCAGGAGGAACACCGGUGGCGAAGGCGGGUCUCUGGGCCGAUACUGACGCUGAGGAGCGAAAGCGUGGGGAGCAAACAGG